rnacentral:rRNA from 1 species
UGCCUGCCCGGUGACCAUGAGUUUAACGGCCGCGGUAUUCUGACCGCGCAAAGGUAGCGUAAUCACUUGUCUUCUAAAUAAAGACUAGUAUGAACGGCCACACGAAGACUUGACUGUCUCCCUAGUCCAAUCAGUGAAACUAAUCUCCUCGUGCAGAAGCGAGAAUACACCCAUUAGACGAGAAGACCCUAUGGAGCUUUAAACUCAAUAUUAAUUAUAUUUUACUCUUCUCUAAGGAACUAACAACUUUCUUAACUUAAUAUUAGUUUUAGGUUGGGGCGACCAUGGAGAAAAAAAUAUCCUCCCUGAUGAUUUUCUAACCAAGAGCUACAGCUCUAAGUAUUAAGACCCUUAACUCCCAUUGACCCAUUUUAUGAUCAACGAACCAAGUUACCCUAGGGAUAACAGCGCAAUCCAUUUCAAGAGUUCCUAUCGACAAAUGGGUUUACGACCUCGAUGUUGGAUCAGGGCAUCCUAGUGGUGCAACCGCUACUAACGGUUCGUUUGUUCAACGAUUAAAGCCCUACGUGAUC